rnacentral:rRNA from 1 species
UACGGAGGAUCCGAGCGUUAUCCGGAUUUAUUGGGUUUAAAGGGUGCGUAGGUUGUUUUUUAAGUCAGCGGUGAAAGUUUGCGGCUCAACCGUAAAAUUGCAGUUGAUACUGGCAUCCUUGAGUACAGUAGAGGUAGGCGGAAUUCGUGGUGUAGCGGUGAAAUGCUUAGAUAUCAGGAGGAACAUCGGUGGCGUAAGCGCUUUACUGGGCCGUAAUUGACGCUGAGGAACGAAAGCCAGGGUAGCAAAUGGG